UGAUAAACAUUCCAAAUCUUCGAUGUCU
rnacentral:sRNA from 1 species